rnacentral:siRNA from 1 species
UUGGAUCUUUCCUCAAAGUAA